CAGUGUAGGGAUACUGGGAUAAGGGUACGGGUGGUUGUUAGAGAACAACUUGCAUUGAGCGUGACCAACACGUGUGAGAAAUCACUUGGAUGUCUACUCAUUCAUCAGUGAUCUUCUCGAUGCUGCAAUGGUGUGAGUGGUCCUUUGACCUGUGGUGUCAUCAACUAUUCACAGUGAGGCUAUUGAGUUUGACUGUAUAUUUUUUUGAUCUCUAGCCAUUCGGAUCUUUACUGUGUAUGUUGGCUACAGUAGAUUCAGAUUCGCUGUUUAUAGUAGGA
rnacentral:lncRNA from 1 species